AGGACGAACGCUGGCGGUGUGCUUCACACAUGCAAGUCGAACGAGGUAGCAAUACCUAGUGGCGGACGGGUGAGUAACGCGUGGGAAUCUGCCUUUAGAUGGGGGAUAACGGGCCGAAAGGUCCGCUAAUACCGCAUAGGCCGCAAGGUUAAAGGAGUAAUCCGUCUAAAGAUGAGCCCGCGUCCGAUUAGCUAGUUGGUAGGGUAAAAGCCUACCAAGGCGACGAUCGGUAGCUGGUCUGAGAGGAUGAUCAGCCACAAUGGGACUGAGACACGGCCCAUACUCCUACGGGAGGCAGCAGUGGGGAAUUUUGUGCAAUGGGCGAAAGCCUGACACAGCGACACCGCGUGAGCGAAGAAGCCCUUUGGGUGUAAAGCUCUGUCAGCUGGAACGAAAAAAUGACGGUACCAGCAGAGGAAGCAUCGGCUAACUACGUGCCAGCAGCCGC
rnacentral:rRNA from 1 species